rnacentral:tRNA from 1 species
UAGCUCAGUCAGUAGAGCAUGAGACUCUUAAUCUCAGGGUCGUGGGUUUGUGCCCCAU